GAAAAGAAAAGAAAAGAAAAGAAAAGAAAAGAAAAGAAAAGAAAAGAAAGAAAAGAAAUCAGAAAAUUCCAAUAACAGCUGAAACUUUCAGUUAAAAGAACUUUAAAACAAAAAUACCUCCUCCUCCUCAAAAGACAGAACACUUAAAGCAGGUCUUGGAAGAUGAGAUGGUGCAGCUGGCAGGAUGAAAUGGGAGCAGCUGGAAGGGGAAGAUUUGGGUCCUACCUAUUGAAACAUUUGACAUUUGGUGUCUGAGGGGAGCACUGUUUAGAGCUAAUAAAUAACUCAGCAAUGAUGACAACCUGUAA